ACAUGAGUUAAAAUUUUUAGAAUGAUUGUUACUCUCCAAUAGAUUCAAUUAGAGACUUUAUUGUACCCCAAAUUUGUUCAGUGAGUGCACCAGACAAGAGUCCUUCUUCCCUCAGAAGUCUAAUCUCUUAAUUGAUCUUCCAAAUAAAAGCUCUAAUUUAAAGGUCUCUUGUAUUAUGUAUAGGCAGAAAUCAUUCCCUAUAGCUUUCACAGAAGCAGUCAUUCACCCAUUAGGAUGAUUUGUCCCAUCGCUUUAGAAGCUUGAACAAUUGAGAGCAAGACUUUCCCCUGAAAGGUGUUAGUUAAUUAUGAUUUGUAUCUCUAGCUCUCUUCAAGUAUAGGGAGUUACUAUUCUAGAAUCCCCAUAGACACUCUCUGCAGAAGCAACGGAAUCUGUCUUCACUUAUAUCUUGGUGUAAGUUCUGAUUAAAACUCCUUUACAGCAAGUGACAGCAUUCCAACUGAAUUGAUGUUAAUGUGAUUUAAUUAUAAUGAUCUCAAACACUGACAAUUUGUUGUGACUCUUUCACAGGUAAUCAGAAAACGAUUAUAAAAGAAAGGCAAGAAAUGCCUCUUUGUUGAAAAAGAGACCACUGGCCAUUUUAGGAGAUACUUCAUUGGAAAAGAAAAGAAAAGAAAAGAAAAGAAAAGAAAAGAAAAGAAAAGAAAAGAAAAGAAAAGAAAAAGAUUCAUAUCAAAUACACAAUCAAGCAAAAAAUAAUGUUAUUAGAGUUCUUAAGCCUUUCAAAGUUGCUACAAAACUAUAUAAUGUCAAAAUAAUGAAGAUAAGCAGUGUUCUUACAAUUAAAAUGAUCACUUGCUUCUUUUGAAGAAAAAAUAUUAUUAAUAUUGUCUUCAGGAUGAAUAUUAAUAUUAAAUUUAACAUCUUUCCCUUAUAUAUCAUAAAUUAUUAUAAUUUUGAUUCCCUGCAUAAAAUUACUUUCUUAAAGAUUAUAUAAAAUUGGUCUUACUCAAUUGGAAUAAUCUUUUUUUACUCAAUUAAAAUUUUUUUUCAAUUAUGUAUAGAAACUAUUUCCCCCUCUUUCCAUACUGAAGAAGGUAGGUAAAAUGAUAUAGUUUAUACAUAUGUUAUCAUAUAAUACACAUUUCCCUGUUUGUCAUAUUGUUAAACAUUAUAUAUUGCUUUCAUUAGAAGAAACUUCAGGGAGGAAAAAAAGUGAAGAAUGACAAAUUUCAGUCUUCAUUCGGACACCAUCUGUGGUUCUGAAUAUCUUUUUUCAUCAUAAAUCCCUUGGAGUUUUCCUGUAUCCUUGCAUUGUUGAUAGUAAAGUCAUUCAGAGCUGAUCAUACAUUAAUGUUAGUACUGUGUAUAUAUUGCACUGGUUCUGCUCAUGCUGCAUCAUUUAAUAUGUCUUUCCAAGUUUUUUUGAUCAUCUUAUCAUUUCUUAGAGCACAAUAGUAUUCCAUUGCAAUCACAUACAACAACUUGUUCAACCAUUACUAAACUGAUAGACAUACCUUAAGUUUUCAGUUCUUUGCCACCAUAAAGAGCUACUAUAAAUAUUUUUGAACACAUAGUUUCUUUUCCAUUUUCCUUAUUUCGAAUAUUUUAAGCUGAUAAAAGUUGAAGAGGUUGAAGGUACCUUAGAAAUGUUCUAGCCCUUUGGCAUCAAAUUCAAAUAAAAAUAGAGCCAUUAAUCCA
rnacentral:lncRNA from 1 species